GGCCGCGGGAAUUGGAUUCAGGCCUAACACAUGCAAGUCGAACGGCAGCACGGGUGCUUGCACCUGGUGGCGAGUGGCGAACGGGUGAGUAAUAUAUCGGAACGUACCUUAUUGUGGGGGAUAACGCAGCGAAAGCUGUGCUAAUACCGCAUAAUCCCUAAGGGGGAAAGCGGGGGACCGUAAGGCCUCGCGCAAUUAGAGCGGCCGAUACCUGAUUAGCUAGUUGGUGAGGUAAAGGCUCACCAAGGCAACGAUCAGUAGCUGGUCUGAGAGGACGAUCAGCCACACUGGGACUGAGACACGGCCCAGACUCCUACGGGAGGCAGCAGUGGGGAAUUUUGGACAAUGGGGGCAACCCUGAUCCAGCAAGGCCGCGUGAGUGAAGAAGGCCUUCGGGUGUAAAUUUAUUGGUCAGGGAAGAAACAGCAGCUCUAACACAGUUUGCGAA
rnacentral:rRNA from 1 species